rnacentral:lncRNA from 1 species
GCAUUCAGGGAUAGGAUCCUUAUGGACUAUGUAAUGGCCUCAGUUUCUAUGAAUUGGACAUCACACCUCUAGGACAUUUGGAAUGAUCUUUUGAGUGAGAACCUUUCAGGAACUUGAAGAACCUCUUCUCCAGAUCGCAGGUUCUUAACUGAAGAUUCAUGAACUUGUUUUAAAAAAUAAUUUGAUAAAUAUUUUCAUCAGUUUUCUUAGCA